GGAGCCAUUUAUUAUUCUCUACAGACUCAGGCGCUUGCACUCUUUAGGAGAAAAUUUGUUCUGGGAUGGUUUUGUGGUUUUUCCUUCUAGUGCGUAGAGCUUCAGUGCCCAGCACCCCUGAUAAAAGGCCGAGCAGGCUGCCAGCAGGAUCAGCACCGGCGUUAAAUCCGUUGCCGGCUGGAUUUUCUCAAGCCCCAUCGGAUGCGGCUGUUCAGCGCAGUUCUUUUUGAUCUGAAGUGGACCCAACCUCCUAAAUCACAGCUUUGAAAGAUGACGAGGCCCUUUCCAUGGAGCCUGGGCUAGGAUGGUGGGUAUGAGAGCAAGGAGCUUGUUUUGUGGCCAUGAAGAACAAGCCCCGGAGGGAAGCAGCAACACUG